AGCAGCCGCGGUAAUUCCAGCUCCAAUAGCGUAUAUUAAAGUUGCUGCAGUUAAAAAGCUCGUAGUUGAAUUUCGGGACCAAUAUGUUGGUCGUGCCUCGGUACGUACUGGCAUCGUUGGUUUCUCCCUUCUGACAAACCCUGAUGUCAUUUAUUUGGUGUCGUGGGGAAUCAGGACUGUUACUUUGAAAAAAUUAGAGUGUUUAAAGCAGGCUCACGCUUGAAUACAUUAGCAUGGAAUAAUGAAAUAGGACGUUUGAUUCUAUUUUGUUGGUUCCUAGGAUCGACGUAAUGAUUAAUAGGGAUAGUUGGGGGCAUUAGUAUUCAAUUGUCAGAGGUGAAAUUCUUGGAUUUAUUGAAGACUAACUACUGCGAAAGCAUUUGCCAAGGAUGUUUUCAUUAAUCAAGAACGAAAGUUAGGGGAUCGAAGACGAUCAGAUACCGUCGUAGUCUUAACCAUAAACUAUGCCGACUAGGGAUCGGAUGAUGUUAAUUUUUUAAUGACUCAUUCGGCGCCUUAA
rnacentral:rRNA from 1 species